AUGAAGGCCCCUGCUCAGCUCCUGGGGCUCCUGAUGCUCGGGCUCCCAGGUGCUCGUUGUGAUGUCCAGUUGACCCAGUCACCAUCCCUGUCUACAUCUCUGGGAGAGAGAAGCACCAUCACUUGCAAAGCCAGUCAGAUCAUUAGCAAUUAUUUACAUUCUUACCAGCAGAGAGCAAGGAAAGCUCCAAAGCUCCUGAUCUAUUUUGCACCUACUUGGCAAUCUGGGGUCCCAUGGAGGUUCAGUGGAUGUGGAUCUGGCACAGAGUUCACUCUCAGCAUCAGCAGCCUGCAGCCUGAAGAUUUUGCCACUUACUACUGUCAGCAGGGUAAUUAG